rnacentral:tRNA from 1 species
GCGGCCAUGGCGGAAUUGGUAGACGCGCUAGCUUGAGGUGCUAGUGGGGUAACUCCCGUGGAAGUUCGAGUCUUCUUGGCCGCACCA